CGUACGCUUCUUUUUCCACCGGAGCUUGCUCCACCGGAAAAAGAAGAGUGGCGAACGGGUGAGUAACACGUGGGUAACCUGCCCAUCAGAAGGGGAUAACACUUGGAAACAGGUGCUAAUACCGUAUAACAAUCGAAACCGCAUGGUUUUGAUUUGAAAGGCGCUUUCGGGUGUCGCUGAUGGAUGGACCCGCGGUGCAUUAGCUAGUUGGUGAGGUAACGGCUCACCAAGGCCACGAUGCAUAGCCGACCUGAGAGGGUGAUCGGCCACAUUGGGACUGAGACACGGCCCAAACUCCUACGGGAGGCAGCAGUAGGGAAUCUUCGGCAAUGGACGAAAGUCUGACCGAGCAACGCCGCGUGAGUGAAGAAGGUUUUCGGAUCGUAAAACUCUGUUGUUAGAGAAGAACAAGGAUGAGAGUAACUGUUCAUCCCUUGACGGUAUCUAACCAGAAAGCCACGGCUAACUACGUGCCAGCAGCCGCGGUAAUACGUAGGUGGCAAGCGUUGUCCGGAUUUAUUGGGCGUAAAGCGAGCGCAGGCGGUUUCUUAAGUCUGAUGUGAAAGCCCCCGGCUCAACCGGGGAGGGUCAUUGGAAACUGGGAGACUUGAGUGCAGAAGAGGAGAGUGGAAUUCCAUGUGUAGCGGUGAAAUGCGUAGAUAUAUGGAGGAACACCAGUGGCGAAGGCGGCUCUCUGGUCUGUAACUGACGCUGAGGCUCGAAAGCGUGGGGAGCAAACAGGAUUAGAUACCCUGGUAGUCCACGCCGUAAACGAUGAGUGCUAAGUGUUGGAGGGUUUCCGCCCUUCAGUGCUGCAGCUAACGCAUUAAGCACUCCGCCUGGGGAGUACGACCGCAAGGUUGAAACUCAAAGGAAUUGACGGGGGCCCGCACAAGCGGUGGAGCAUGUGGUUUAAUUCGAAGCAACGCGAAGAACCUUACCAGGUCUUGACAUCCUUUGACCACUCUAGAGAUAGAGCUUCCCCUUCGGGGGCAAAGUGACAGGUGGUGCAUGGUUGUCGUCAGCUCGUGUCGUGAGAUGUUGGGUUAAGUCCCGCAACGAGCGCAACCCUUAUUGUUAGUUGCCAUCAUUCAGUUGGGCACUCUAGCAAGACUGCCGGUGACAAACCGGAGGAAGGUGGGGAUGACGUCAAAUCAUCAUGCCCCUUAUGACCUGGGCUACACACGUGCUACAAUGGGAAGUACAACGAGUCGCGAAGUCGCGAGGCUAAGCUAAUCUCUUAAAGCUUCUCUCAGUUCGGAUUGUAGGCUGCAACUCGCCUACAUGAAGCCGGAAUCGCUAGUAAUCGCGGAUCAGCACGCCGCGGUGAAUACGUUCCCGGGCCUUGUACACACCGCCCGUCACACCACGAGAGUUUUAACACCCGAAGUCGGUGAGGUAACCUUUGGAGCCA
rnacentral:rRNA from 1 species